UACAUGGGGUGCAAACGUUGCUCGGAAUUAUUGGGCGUAAAGCGCACGUAGGUGGUCUGUUAUGUCAGAUGUGAAAGCCCUCGGCUUAACUGAGGAAGUGCACCUGAAACUGGCAGGCUUGAGUACGAAAGAGGGUCGCGGAAUUCCCGGUGUAGAGGUGGAAUUCGUAGAUAGUCGGGAGGAACACCGGUGGCGAAGGCGGCGACCUGGUUCGAUACUGACACUGAGGUGCGAAAGCG
rnacentral:rRNA from 1 species